rnacentral:misc_RNA from 1 species
UUAAGUUCAGCGGGUAGUCCUACCUGAUUUGAGGUCAGAUUUCAAAUUACAUUGACUGCCGCUCCACAGGCGAGUCGUGGGAGGACGCUAAUAGGGGAACUUCUCGGUCGAGCGAGGAUGGUACAACGCCCAGUCGAGUCCGACCCGCAGGUCCAACCGAUGCAUUUGAGGGGAGCCGCCUCACGGCCAGCAGGCCCCCA